rnacentral:rRNA from 1 species
UUGAACGCUGGCGGCAGGCCUAACCCAUGCAAGUCGAGCGGAUGAAGGGAGCUUGCUCCUGGAUUCAGCGGCGGACGGGUGAGUAAUGCCUAGGAAUCUGCCUGGUAGUGGGGGAUAACGUCCGGAAACGGGCGCUAAUACCGCAUACGUCCUGAGGGAGAAAGUGGGGGAUCUUCGGACCUCACGCUAUCAGAUGAGCCUAGGUCGGAUUAGCUAGUUGGUGGGGUAAAGGCCUACCAAGGCGACGAUCCGUAACUGGCCUGAGAGGAUGAUCAGUCACACUGGAACUGAGACACGGUCCAGACUCCUACGGGAGGCAGCAGUGGGGAAUAUUGGACAAUGGGCGAAAGCCUGAUCCAGCCAUGCCGCGUGUGUGAAGAAGGUCUUCGGAUUGUAAAGCACUUUAAGUUGGGAGGAAGGGCAGUAAGUUAAUACCUUGCUGUUUUGACGUUACCAACAGAAUAAGCACCGGCUAACUUCGUG